rnacentral:rRNA from 1 species
GACAGAGGUGCCGAGCGUUAGGCGGAAUCACUGGGCUUAAAGCGUGUGUAGGCGGGCCGUUAAGUGUCUUGUGAAAUCCCCCGGCUCAACCGGGGAAUUGCUGGGCAUACUGGCGGUCUUGAGCAAUCUAGGGGCAGAUGGAACAAGUGGUGGAGCGGUGAAAUGCGUAGAUAUCACUUGGAACGCCAACGGUGAAGACAGUCUGCUGGGGAUUUGCUGAUGCUGAGACACGAAAGCCAGGGGAGCGAACGGG